rnacentral:rRNA from 1 species
AUUGAACGCUGGCGGCAGGCUUAACACAUGCAAGUCGAGCGAGCGGCGGACGGGUGAGUAAUGUCUGGGAAACUGCCUGAUGGAGGGGGAUAACUACUGGAAACGGUAGCUAAUACCGCAUAGCAUCAGCUGGGCCCAGAUGGGAGUAGCUAGUAGGGGGGGUAAUGGCUCACCUAGGCGACGAUCCCUAGCUGGUCUGAGAGGAUGACCAGCCACACUGGAACUGAGACACGUCCCAGACUCCGACGGGAGGCAGCAGUGGGGAAUAUUGCACAAUGGGCGCAAGCCUGAUGAAGCCAUGCCGCGUGUGUGAAGAAGGCCUUCGGGUUGUAAAGCACUUUCAGCGAGGAGGCGUUACUCGCAGAAGAAGCACCGGCUAACUCCGUGCCAGCCGCCGCGGUAAUAC